GUCGAGAAUCUUUCACAAUGGGGGCAACCCUGAUGGAGCGACGCCGCGUGGAGGAUAAGGUCUUCGGAUUGUAAACUCCUGUCAUGCGUGAACAAGGUUGCUUGGUUAAUACCUGGGCAAAUUGAUGGUAACGCAAGAGGAAGAGACGGCUAACUCUGUGCCAGCAGCCGCGGUAAUACAGAGGUCUCAAGCGUUGUUCGGAAUCACUGGGCGUAAAGGGUGCGUAGGUGGCGUGGUAAGUCAGAUGUGAGAGCCCGGGUCUCAACCUCGGAACUGCAUCCGAUACUGCCAUGCUAGAGUACUGGAUAGGUGACUAGAAUUCUCGGUGUAGCAGUGAAAUGCGUAGAUAUCGAGAGGAAUACCAAAGGCGUAGGCAGGUCACUGGACAGUUACUGACACUGAGGCACGAAGGCCAGGGGAGCGAACGGGAUUAGAAACCCCGGUAGUCC
rnacentral:rRNA from 1 species